GGUAAAAGAAGGCUCAGAUAAUUUCAAUGGAACUAGCUUCUAAGCCCUACAGAGAACCUCUUUAUAAGAAUUCAAAACAGAAAAGGCAAACUGUGGUAGCUAAUGGUCACCCCUAUUCCACUUCAUUCUCUGGAAACUGUACAACCAGUAAAAAGGACUUCUAAAAAAGGUAUAAAGAAAAGGAUCUAAAUGACUGCAAAGCUGGAAUAUGGCUACAGGUUGUGUGGGAGUUCUAAAACCCUUGAUAAAAAUUGGAAGUCUGCCAUAGAACCCAUUAGUUUGGGCAAUAAUCAGCAAAAGCAAGAAAAUAAACGAGUAAAUCCCCCUCCCCCACUUCUCAAGGCAUAAACAAAUUUUAGUGUUAGAGGAAAAUAUAUAAUACUUACAUGAAUGCUGCAUGUGUGCAUGGGAGCGAGUGAUCAGCAAUAGAAAAUUUACUUUCCAAAAAAGCCUUAUUAAAAUAUAAAUACUAGAAAAUUACUUUGUAGACCCAAGUAAAUAUUUCUCAUACAUAUAUAGAAAGAAAAUAGAUGAGACUUACCUCAGUAUUUUAGGGCCACAAAGUGCUCAAUUAUCUUUGUCAAGCAAAGAUGAAGCAGCAUGGCAAAGUCAAAUCAGCAAGGAGAAACUUCAUCUCAAUCCCAGGUUUUAUCUUCUUCCCUUAUCCUGCAUGUGCAAUAACUGCUACCUGACAAACUGCAAAUAAGCAGCAUCACUCAAGUUUCAAGUUUCACCUCUCUUCUGCAAACUGCCCCCUUGGCAAGUGUAUCCAGCAGGAGGUGAAAUGGCUAGAGCACUGAGUUGAGACUUCUGUAUUACUCUUGUCAAGUUACUUGCCUGUUUGGGCUCCUUUAUCCCCCAUGCAUAAAAAGUGAAGAAGCAGAGUGGGAAGGGAGCUCUACCAGCUCUUCAGCUCUAGCAUUCUAUGACUUUUUAAGGCAAUAUAAUACAGCUCAAGUCAGGCAAUACAGAAAGGAAAAGGCAGAGGAUGUGAUUAAUCUAUGGUAACAACACCACCUUCACAUAUCUAGGAGUCACUGGUAAAAGACAUUCCAAUCUUACAGAGAAAAUGUUAGAAUAAUUUCUGUCUAGCACUGUCACAAAUAGGUUCAGGGUCAGCCUAAGCAUGUGCACUGUACAUUGUAUUGGUGAUUUGGAAAGAUCUGUUCGAUUAUUUUUCAGAAACUCAAUUUUCAAUCAAAUAAAAUGAUAUGCAUACAAUUCAAAUAAAU
rnacentral:lncRNA from 1 species